ACGUAUACAAACAAAUAAUAGUAAUUAAAGUUAGUCACUUGAUACAAUAUGUCAAAAAUAAAACUAAAGUUUAAAACUUUAACAACUAAUAAAGGUUUAAUAGUAUAACUUAGAACAACUUAAAAUUGUUAACCAACCUCCUUUUUAAAAAAAAAGAUUAUUAACCAACCAGGAACAAUGUUCCAGUUCCUUCGCACGAAAUGAAACAAAGGAAAGAGAAAGAAGAAAAGAAAUCGCCCGGUACUCCGCUGUCUUCUUGAAGAUCCCAUGAAAAGAUCUUUAUUAGUUAUUCCCUACCAAAAUUCCCGCUUUACUUGAAUAUGGAAAUUAGAAUCAGGUUUAUUUUUCCUUUUUUUUUUCCUAAAAACUUAAUUCUCGCCUUUUUUCCAUAUUCAUAAACAGCGUUUUCAAUCUCGUGGGCGCAAAUUCAAUCUCGCAUGCACUGACUUGAACCUCACCUGCACAUAAUUCAACCUCGCCUGCCCGGAAUUCAAUAUCGCUUUACGAAUCUGACAUAUCCUAAAUUAGGUAUUUCCAUCAGAUAUCUUCAUUUAGAGUAAUACACAUUCUUCUUUUUCAAUUUCAUGGUGACAAAGGUAGAGGAUUGAUUCGAUGGUCUUGUUCAACUAGCAGAGAAUUCAAUUUUUUUCUUCACGAAUUUCUUCAUUUAGAGUAAUAUGCAUUUUCAAUUUCAAUUUCAAUUUUAAUUUCUUACGGCUUCAAUUGAACUGCUCUUAUGUUUCUUUCAGUCAUCCCUAACUGAAACUCACUUAUGUUGUUUUGGUCAGCACGUCUGCUCUUGAGAAAAUUUCUUGAGAUUUAGGCUUCUUGAAUCCAAUUGGUAUAUAUAGGGUGAACAUUUUUCCAUUCAUGCAUAUUUCUUACAAGCAAAUUAUGUGUUGGACGAGCAUCGAAUAUUAGGGAUUAUAACAUUGCUAGUUGCAGCUGUAGAUUAUUGUGAAACUGAUUCUAUCCUCAGAAGCUUGUAAGUAUUCUUUUGCAAAUUUCCUAAGCACCUAGAAAAAAUGUUUUGACACGAUUCAGUUUUAUAGAUGUAACUGCUGAGUACUGUAAUUUGUGCUGUAUACUCCACACAUUCCUACCAAGUAUGUUGUUGGUUUUAAGGGUACUUAAUGGCUGCAAAACUUGGAGUAUGCACUUGAAAUUCAAGUGUUAAAGUUGUGAGCAUCUUUUUGGUUAUAAAGCUUUUAAAAAAUAGUAAAUUGUCUCUGAGAAGAUCUGAAUUUUUAUUAAUUCAAAUUUGUGGUUUUUCUGAUUUAAUAUGCUGUCAUUGAGAGGAUAACUUACAUGAGCUUAAUUUUGAAGAACUUCAUGGUGUAUCUGGGUAUGAAGCACCGAAACCUCUAGGACCUUAAGCUGACUUGUUUUUUUGCCCUGAAACCUCGGUCGUUUUUUCGUGCUAAUGAAAUUCGGAAAUGUCUAGGACCUGAAAUGAAACAUUUCCGCAAUGCAUGGGUACUUAUCUGGUGACUGGAUACAGAGCACAGUAUCAGCUUAAUGUUCUUUAUUUGUUUCUUUUUUCUUACUCCUUAGUUUCGGGAUUUCGGGAUGUUGGAAAUGCUUUGCAGUAUGAAAGUAUUCUUAGUUUGGUCAUCUUGUUUCUUGUUGGUUGGUUGAGAAACUGGCUAAGAGUUUUAAGAAUCACAAGUAACAUGCUUUUUCAAAUUUUGGAAUCAGGUGGAGUUGACUGUGUGGCUGGAUUUGCUCCUCCAUUUUCGCAGCCGCAAAUUCUAUUUGCAGAGGUUGUAGUUGCUAGAGAAUUAAGCAUAUAGUAUAUAUAUGAGUAUACUACAGUAUAACUAGUAGUAGUGUGUAUAAUUAUAAACUUAUAAUAAUGCCUAGCUAAUUUUAGGGAGGAAUAGUAGACAUCAUUUAAGAUUAGUUAUCCUUUUGACAGCCCAAGAUACUAACCAGGUGCAUAUUUUUUUUCUCUUGGUACUUCAUGGGCAGUGUAUAGUUAUCAAAUCAAAAUGUAGUUUUGCAGAAAAUUCAAUGUUUUAUUCUCAGCAACUUGAAGAUGAAAUGCGAUAAUAGGUACCAAAUCAAAAAGUUUUCUUUUUUAUUUUGUUUGACGUAUAACUAUGAUGUGAAAUCUUUUGUAAAACUUUUAUGUGGUACCAAUAAGAUCUGGCAUUUGAGUGAUUCUACUUCUGCAACUUUAGUUUUUGAGUGAUUUAUAAGUUAUUCAAGCUACCUUUUCAAUCUGCUAUCUUGCAUAUGAUACAAGUCAAAAGGAAUGAGAUUAAUGGAGGAGGAAAAAGAAACAAAUUAUUGCCCCGCUGUCGGUUGCCAAGUUAUUAAGACAAGCAUCGAACAAGGAAAAGCAUGCAACACAUGGAACAAAAGAAGCACAAACAAUUAAAGCAGCCCUUGCAUUUGAUGUAGAUGAGGAUGAGGACGAGGAUGAGGACGAGGAUGAGGAUGAGGAUGAUAUGUGAUGAUGAUGAUGAUGAUGAUGAUGAUUAUGAUGAUGAUGAUGAUGAUGAGGAGGAGGAGGAGGAGGAGGAUGAGGAUGUGGAUUAUAAAGAGUAUGGUGAAAUGCAAAUAAACGAAGAGUAGUAUGACUUUGGUUGACUCUGAGGUGUUACUGUUGAGGAUGAGGAUGCACCGAAACUAAUUUUAACUUUGGUAGUUUUCCUAAGUUUUGGGCUUGCAGGUUGUUGGAUGACAUAGGAUGUUUUAUCUGGUUGAUAUUGUACUACAAUUUUUGAGAUGUUACUACAUUAUAUUUGCUUUUAUUUGGUAAUAUUUCUUGGAAAUAGUAGAACUUCGGUUUCUAUGAAA